UUCCAUGACUGUUUCGUGCAUGGGUGUGAUGCUUCUAUUCUCAUUGAUGGAGCUAACACUGAGAAAACAGCAGGACCUAACCUUCUUCUCAGAGGAUAUGAAGUCAUUGAUGAUGCCAAGACCAAACUUGAAGCUUCUUGCCCUGGUGUUGUCUCUUGUGCUGACAUUUUAGCUCUUGCUGCCCGCGACUCUGUGGUUUUGACAAAUGGACCGAGCUGGCCAGUGCCCACAGGACGUAGAGAUGGCACGGUUUCAUUAGCAUCUGAUACUGCAAAUUUGCCUGGGUUCACAGACUCCGUUGAUGUGCAAAAGCAGAAGUUUGCAGCUUUGGGUCUUAAUACUCAAGAUCUUGUUACCCUUGUUGGAGGACACACCAUCGGAACUACAGCUUGCCAAUUCUUCAGGUACAGACUAUAUAAUUUCACUACAACUGGAAAUGGUGCAGACCCAUCCAUUGACCCAGCAUUUGUUCCUCAACUAAAGGCACUUUGCCCACAAAAUGGUGAUGCCUCUAAACGUAUUGCACUUGACACUGGUAGUUCCAACACGUUCGAUGGAUCUUUCUUCACCAAUUUGAGGAAUGGGAGAGGAAUUCUUGAAUCUGAUCAGAAGUUGUGGACUGAUACUACAACCAGAACCUUUGUUCAACGUUUCUUAGGCAUCCGAGGAUUGCUUGGCUUGACCUUUAAC
rnacentral:misc_RNA from 1 species